rnacentral:lncRNA from 1 species
GUUUUCGGCCCCCUAUUGCAUCGGGACAUCCCGGAGUUUUAGAACUCGCGGAGGCCCAAGUAUCUCGAAACGGGGGCAGAUUCCGAGCAUGGAACUUUGGCAGGUUUUAAAGUCUGUGGGAAGCCAAGCACUUUCUCCAUAGGAGACUGCUACGGGGAAAAAUGGAACCCGUGUCCUCUAAGUUAGGUUACGGAGUUACUCGUUUUAAGAGUUCCUUUUUUUUUGAGACGGAGCCUCGUUCUGUCGCCUGGCUGGAGUACAGUGGCGCGAUCUCCACUCACUGCAAGCUCCCCCCCCCGGGUUCAAGCGAUUCUCCUGCUUUAGUUUCCCGAGUAGCUGGGACUACAGGCGCCCGCCACCACGCCCUGCUAAUUUUUUGUAUUUUUAGUAGAGACAGGGUUUCACCAUGUUGGCCAGGAUGGUUUUGAUCUCUUGACCUAGUGAUCCGCCCGCCUCGGCCUCCCAAAGUGCUGCGAUUACAGACCUGAGCCACUGCACCC